rnacentral:rRNA from 1 species
AGUGAGGAAUAUUGGUCAAUGGGCGGGAGCCUGAACCAGCCAAGUCGCGUGAAGGAAGAAGGAUCUAUGGUUCGUAAACUUCUUUUGCAGGGGAAUAAAGUGCAGGACGUGUCCUGUUUUGUAUGUACCCUGAGAAUAAGGAUCGGCUAACUCCGUGCCAGCAGCCGCGGUAAUACGGAGGAUCCGAGCGUUAUCCGGAUUUAUUGGGUUUAAAGGGUGCGUAGGUGGUUUGAUAAGUCAGCGGUGAAAGUUUGCAGCUUAACUGUAAAAAUGCCGUUGAAACUGUCGGACUUGAGUGUAAAUGAGGUAGGCGGAAUGCGUGGUGUAGCGGUGAAAUGCAUAGAUAUCACGCAGAACUCCGAUUGCGAAGGCAGCUUACUAAGCUACAACUGACACUGAAGCACGAAAGCGUGGGGAUCAAACAGGAUUAGAUACCCUGGUAGUCCACGCAGUAAACGAUGAUUACUAGCUGUUUGCGAUACACAGUAAGCGGCGCAGCGAAAGCGUUAAGUAAUCCACCUGGGGAGUACGCCGGCAACGGUG